rnacentral:rRNA from 1 species
UAAAAAAAGGUAAGCUACUAAGAGCGAAUGGUGGAUGCCUUGACUGGUAAAGGCGAUGAAGGACGUACUAGACUGCGAUAAGCUACGGGGAGCUGUCAAGAAGCUUUGAUCCGUAGAUUUCCGAAUGGGGCAACCCAAUGUAUAGAGAUAUGCAUUACCUAUAUAGGAGCGAACGAGGGGAAUUGAAACAUCUUAGUACCCUCAGGAAAAGAAAUCAAUAGAGAUUGCGUCAGUAGCGGCGAGCGAAAGCGCAAGAGGGCAAACCCAGUGCUUGCACUGGGGGUUGUAGGACUGCAAUGUGCAAGAGGUAAGUUUAGCAGAACAUUCUGGAAAGUAUAACCAUAGAGGGUGAUAGUCCCGUAUGCGAAAAACAAACCUUAGCUAGCAGUAUCCUGAGUAGGGCGGGACACGAGGAAUCCUGUCUGAAUCCGGGUCGACCACGAUCCAACCCUAAAUACUAAUACCAGAUCGAUAGUGCACAAGUACCGUGAGGGAAAGGUGAAAAGAACUGAGGUGAUCAGAGUGAAAUAGAACCUGAAACCAUUUGCUUACAAUCAUUCAGAGCCCUAUGUAGCAAUACAGGGUGAUGGACUGCCUUUUGCAUAAUGAGCCUGCGAGUUGUGGUGUCUGGCAAGGUUAAGCAAACGCGAAGCCGUAGCGAAAGCGAGUCUGAAUAGGGCGCUUAGUCAGAUGCUGCAGACCCGAAACGAAGUGAUCUAUCCAUGAGCAAGUUGAAGCUAGUGUAAGAACUAGUGGAGGACUGAACCCAUAGGCGUUGAAAAGCCCCGGGAUGACUUGUGGAUAGGGGUGAAAGGCCAAUCAAACUUCGUGAUAGCUGGUUCUCUCCGAAAUAUAUUUAGGUAUAGCGUUGUGUCGUAAUAUAAGGGGUAGAGCACUGAAUGGGCUAGGGCAUACACCAAUGUACCAAACCCUAUCAAACUCCGAAUACCUUAUAUGUAAUCACAGCAGUCAGGCGGCGAGUGAUAAAAUCCGUCGUCAAGAGGGAAACAACCCAGACUACCAGCUAAGGUCCCUAAAUCUUACUUAAGUGGAAAACGAUGUGAAGUUACUUAAACAACCAGGAGGUUGGCUUAGAAGCAGCCAUCCUUUAAAGAAAGCGUAAUAGCUCACUGGUCUAGUGAUUUUGCGCGGAAAAUAUAACGGGGCUAAAGUAAGUACCGAAGCUGUAGACUUAGUUUACUAAGUGGUAGGAGAGCGUUCUAUUUGCGUCGAAGGUAUACCGGUAAGGAGUGCUGGAGCGAAUAGAAGUGAGCAUGCAGGCAUGAGUAGCGAUAAUUAAUGUGAGAAUCAUUAACGCCGUAAACCCAAGGUUUCCUACGCGAUGCUCGUCAUCGUAGGGUUAGUCGGGUCCUAAGUCGAGUCCGAAAGGGGUAGACGAUGGCAAAUUGGUUAAUAUUCCAAUACCAACAUUAGUGUGCGAUGGAAGGACGCUUAGGGCUAAGGGGGCUAGCGGAUGGAAGUGCUAGUCUAAGGUCGUAGGAGGUUAUACAGGCAAAUCCGUAUAACAAUACUCCGAGAACUGAAAGGCUUUUGAAGUCUUCGGAUGGAUAGAAGAACCCCUGAUGCCGUCGAGCCAAGAAAAGUUUCUAAGUUUAGCUAAUGUUGCCCGUACCGUAAACCGACACAGGUGGGUGGGAUGAGUAUUCUAAGGCGCGUGGAAGAACUCUCUUUAAGGAACUCUGCAAAAUAGCACCGUAUCUUCGGUAUAAGGUGUGGUUAGCUUUGUAUUAGGAUUUACUCCGAAAGCAAGGAAACUUACAACAAAGAGUCCCUCCCGACUGUUUACCAAAAACACAGCACUCUGCUAACUCGUAAGAGGAUGUAUAGGGUGUGACGCCUGCCCGGUGCUCGAAGGUUAAUUGAUGGGGUUAGCAUUAGCGAAGCUCUUGAUCGAAGCCCGAGUAAACGGCGGCCGUAACUAUAACGGUCCUAAGGUAGCGAAAUUCCUUGUCGGUUAAAUACCGACCUGCAUGAAUGGCGUAACGAGAUGGGAGCUGUCUCAAAGAGGGAUCCAGUGAAAUUGUAGUGGAGGUGAAAAUUCCUCCUACCCGCGGCAAGACGGAAAGACCCCGUGGACCUUUACUACAGCUUGACACUGCUACUUGGAUAAGAAUGUGCAGGAUAGGUGGGAGGCUUUGAGUAUAUGACGCCAGUUGUAUAUGAGCCAUUGUUGAGAUACCACUCUUUCUUAUUUGGGUAGCUAACCAGCUUGAGUUAUCCUCAAGUGGGACAAUGUCUGGUGGGUAGUUUGACUGGGGCGGUCGCCUCCCAAAUAAUAACGGAGGCUUACAAAGGUUGGCUCAGAACGGUUGGAAAUCGUUCGUAGAGUAUAAAGGUAUAAGCCAGCUUAACUGCAAGACAUACAAGUCAAGCAGAGACGAAAGUCGGUCUUAGUGAUCCGGUGGUUCUGUGUGGAAGGGCCAUCGCUCAAAGGAUAAAAGGUACCCCGGGGAUAACAGGCUGAUCUCCCCCAAGAGCUCACAUCGACGGGGAGGUUUGGCACCUCGAUGUCGGCUCAUCGCAUCCUGGGGCUGGAGCAGGUCCCAAGGGUAUGGCUGUUCGCCAUUUAAAGCGGUACGCGAGCUGGGUUCAGAACGUCGUGAGACAGUUCGGUCCCUAUCUGCCGUGGGCGUAAGAAGAUUGAAGAGAUUUGACCCUAGUACGAGAGGACCGGGUUGAACAAACCACUGGUGUAGCUGUUGUUCUGCCAAGAGCAUCGCAGCGUAGCUAAGUUUGGAAAGGAUAAACGCUGAAAGCAUCUAAGCGUGAAGCCAACUCUAAGAUGAAUCUUCUCUAAGCUCUCUAGAAGACUACUAGUUUGAUAGGCUGGGUGUGUAAUGGAUGAAAGUCCUUUAGCUGACCAGUACUAAUAGAGCGUUUGGCUUAUCUUUAAUAAAGCAU